UGACGAGUGGCGGACGGGUGAGUAAUGUCUGGGAAACUACCUGAUGGAGGGGGAUAACUACUGGAAACGGUAGCUAAUACCGCAUAACGUCGCAAGACCAAAGAGGGGGACCUUCGGGCCUCUUGCCAUCGGAUGUGCCCAGAUGGGAUUAGCUAGUAGGUGGGGUAACGGCUCACCUAGGCGACGAUCCCUAGCUGGUCUGAGAGGAUGACCAGCCACACUGGAACUGAGACACGGUCCAGACUCCUACGGGAGGCAGCAGUGGGGAAUAUUGCACAAUGGGCGCAAGCCUGAUGCAGCCAUGCCGCGUGUAUGAAGAAGGCCUUCGGGUUGUAAAGUACUUUCAGCGGGGAGGAAGGGAGUAAAGUUAAUACCUUUGCUCAUUGACGUUACCCGCAGAAGAAGCACCGGCUAACUCCGUGCCAGCAGCCGCGGUAAUACGGAGGGUGCAAGCGUUAAUCGGAAUUACUGGGCGUAAAGCGCACGCAGGCGGUUUGUUAAGUCAGAUGUGAAAUCCCCGGGCUCAACCUGGGAACUGCAUCUGAUACUGGCAAGC
rnacentral:rRNA from 1 species